CACGUAGGGUGCGAGCGUUGUCCGGAAUUAUUGGGCGUAAAGAGCUCGUAGGCGGUGUGUCGCGUCGGCCGUGAAAACCUGCAGCUUAACUGUGGGCGUGCGGGCGAUACGGGCAGACUGGAGUACUGCAGGGGAGACUGGAAUUCCUGGUGUAGCGGUGGAAUGCGCAGAUAUCAGGAGGAACACCGGUGGCGAAGGCGGGUCUCUGGGCCGAUAUUGACGCUGAGGAGCGAAAGCGUGGGGGAGCGAACAGG
rnacentral:rRNA from 1 species